rnacentral:miRNA from 1 species
GGCAAAUCAUCCCUGCUACC